UACGUAGGGGGCAAGCGUUGUCCGGAUUUAUUGGGCGUAAAGAGCUCGUAGGUGGUUCGGUAAGUCGGAUGUGAAAUCUCCAGGCUCAACCUGGAGGGUCAUUCGAUACUGCCGUGACUAGAGUUCGGUAGGGGAGUGUGGAAUCCUGGUGGAGCGGUGAAAUGCGCAGAUAUCUGGAGGAACACCGGUGGCGAAGGCGGCAUCCUGGACCGGCAUUGACGCUAAAGCGCGAAAAGCCAGGGGAGCAAACGGG
rnacentral:rRNA from 1 species